GAUGAACGCUGGCGGCGUGCCUAACACAUGCAAGUCGAGCGAACGGGCGAGAAGCUUGCUUCUCUGAUGUUAGCGGCGGACGGGUGAGUAACACGUGGAUAACCUACCUAUAAGACUGGGAUAACUUCGGGAAACCGGAGCUAAUACCGGAUGAUAUUUUGAACCGCAUGGUUCAAAAGUGAAAGACGGUCUUGCUGUCACUUAUAGAUGGAUCCGCGCUGCAUUAGCUAGUUGGUAAGGUAACGGCUUACCAAGGCAACGAUGCAUAGCCGACCUGAGAGGGUGAUCGGCCACACUGGAACUGAGACACGGUCCAGACUCCUACGGGAGGCAGCAGUAGGGAAUCUUCCGCAAUGGGCGAAAGCCUGACGGAGCAACGCCGCGUGAGUGAUGAAGGUCUUCGGAUCGUAAAACUCUGUUAUUAGGGAAGAACAUAUGUGUAAGUAACUGUGCACAUCUUGACGGUACCUAAUCAGAAAGCCACGGCUAACUACGUG
rnacentral:rRNA from 1 species